rnacentral:RNase_P_RNA from 1 species
UGACUGGUGCAGACGGUCGCGUGCUUCGGCAUGAGGAAAGUCCGGGCUGCAUAGGGCAAGGAUAACGGAUAACAUCCGCCGGGGGCGACCCUAGGAAUAGUGCAACAGAGAUAUACCGCUGCCGCGUGCGGCAGUAAGGGUGGAAAGGCGAGGUAAGAGCUCACCGCGCCCCAUGGUGACAUGGGGGGCCUGUAAACUCUAUCCGCAGCAACGCCGACUGGGACGAUGGGUGGCCCGCCCGUCCCGACUGGCGGCUCGAGGCGCACGGUAACGUGCGUCCCAGAUAGAUGACCGUCCAACGACAGGACCCGGCUUAUCGCACCAGUCAUACC